rnacentral:lncRNA from 7 species
AAAUGCUUCUUUCUCCUGAUUAUAAGGACUUGCAUGUUUGCUGACUUCUGUGAUCCUUAGUCUGGGAAAUAUCCUUGUCAAGUCAAAGGAGCAGCAGUGUCUAUACUUAAAUGGGAAAGAUAUCUUCCAUCUUAUCAUGGCUGAAACAACAAAUGUAAAUGCUGGUGCUUUAUAGUGCUGAGACUACUGCAGGAGGACACUGGUGGGGAAAUUUGCCUAUGAAUUUUCAAAAAGGCUGAAGAUGAGCAGUGCUGGUAAACCUGAGCCGUCGGCUGACUCCUCAUUUCAGAAAAGUGUUCCGACUUCCUCAUUGUUCCCCAUGAAGAGGAUGGCUCCUCGUACUCCAGUAAUACAAAGUGGUUUCUGAUUUGUGUGAGAACAUGGGAACUGGGAAACGGGAUUUGACAGUUCUUCUGCCAAGCUGUUGGAAUGAUGCUGCAAUACGCCAGUCAGGACUGACUGCUGAGAGAAUAACAGUGAAAUGAGAUUACCAUGAAACUGAGAGAACAGUGAUCUACAUUUUGCAACAGGCUCCCUGAUCCAGCGAAAGAUGUGAGAGAAUGUGAUUGCUGCAACAUUUACCAUCACAUCAAGGAGCAAGGUAAGGAGGUGUGAGUGCUGAAUCUGAAGAAAAGCAGACACUCACCCAUGAGUGUUUGGAAAAGGUUUUUUCAGGGGGGACGUUAUAAGCACAGUUUAGUGCCUCUUGGCCUUUCCUUUUCUUUUGUCUCGAGGCUGAUGACUGAAAUUCUGGAUGUCUAGGAACUACGCAGGCAAACUUCAACUGGAACUGUAAUUCAUAAGAGAACACUUGUCUCCUUCUGCAAGAGAUGAACUGAUUCAGCCUGUUGGUGUCGAGAGACUGAUGCCACGGUCCUUUAUUUCCUGUUGAGAAGGGAACUUACAUUUUUCUUUCUAUUUUCUUCACCUUCCAAGGUGUAAAGUUCUUUAUUGUUUUUCUCAUCCCAAACAGACUGGUGAAAGAUUUGCCAUAUCUCACAGCUGAAAUUCUGAAGUAAAUCGUCAUUUUAACAACAAAUUGCAUACUCUAACAUUUGUGGUAUAUGGUAUAUUCAAAGCAUUUGAAGCAUGAGAGAUGCUAAUGUGACCAAGUGGUAUCUCCCAUGAGAAAAGCUGUCUGUCAGUAACUUUUGAAUGUGAUAUAGACCAGCUCUAGCUAGCUCUGAGCUCUAGCUCAGUUUGUUGUCAUGUCAGUGAGCAUACAAGGAGAGGAUGGCUCUAAACAUGCAGUUUUAUAUGUUUCUCUGUAAAAAAUUGCUUAUUGCCAGAGACAGAACACUGAAGUAGUCAGAUUGCUCUCAUGUACUAUGUUUAGAACAUAGAAACAUCACAUAGAGAUAUUAUGUUCUAAAACAGUCAAUUACAACUUGAAAAAUAAUAACACAUUUUUAGCCAAAAUAGGCAAAGUUAUAAGUUUCUGAUCAUGUCAAUAGUAUUCUGUCCUUUUUACAGACAUGUCUUGCACAAGCUCCUAAUGUCGUGUAUACUUAUAACGCUGUGUAACUUGGUGCUUAAUUAAGUAAUUUAGCAUGAUGCCACAUUUGUUUAUUUAUAUCUACCUCAAAUUUAUUAGAUUAAAUAUCCUGAAAGUCAGUAUUGUGAAU